CCUACGGGCGGCAGCAGUGAGGAAUAUUGGUCAAUGGUCGGGAGACUGAACCAGCCAAGCCGCGUGAGGGAGGAAGGUACAGCGUAUCGUAAACCUCUUUUGUCAGGGAACAAAAGCGGGGACGUGUCCCCGGAUGAGUGUACCUGACGAAAAAGCAUCGGCUAACUCCGUGCCAGCAGCCGCGGUAAUACGGAGGAUGCGAGCGUUAUCCGGAUUUAUGGGGUUUAAAGGGUGCGCAGGCGGUCUGUUCAGUCAGCGGUCAAAGCCCGGGGCUCAACCCCGGCCCGCCGUUGAAACUGGCAGUCUCGAGUUGGAGAGAAGUAUGCGGAAUGCGCGGUGUAGCGGUGAAAUGCAUAGAUAUCGCGCAGAACUCCGAUUGCGAAGGCAGCAUGCCGGCUCCACACUGACGCUGAGGCACGAAAGCGUGGGUAUCGAACAGGAUUAGAUACCCUUGUAGUC
rnacentral:rRNA from 1 species